rnacentral:misc_RNA from 1 species
UGUGAACGUUACCAAACUGUUGCCUCGGCGGGAUCUCUGCCCCGGGUGCGUCGCAGCCCCGGACCAAGGCGCCCGCCGGAGGACCAACCAAAACUCUUUUUGUAUACCCCCUCGCGGGUUUUUUUAUAAUCUGAGCCUUCUCGGCGCCUCUCGUAGGCGUUUCGAAAAUGAAUCAAAACUUUCAACAACGGAUCUCUUGGUUCUGGCAUCGAUGAAGAACGCAGCGAAAUGCGAUAAGUAAUGUGAAUUGCAGAAUUCAGUGAAUCAUCGAAUCUUUGAACGCACAUUGCGCCCGCCAGUAUUCUGGCGGGCAUGCCUGUCCGAGCGUCAUUUCAACCCUCGAACCCCUCCGGGGGGUCGGCGUUGGGGAUCGGCCCUGCCUCUUGGCGGUGCCCGUCUCCGAAAUACAGUGGCGGUCUCGCCGCAGCCUCUCCUGCGCAGUAGUUUGCACACUCGCAUCGGGAGCGCGGCGCGUCCACAGCCGUUAAACACCCAACUUCUGAAAUG